AUCCCGGAUUGACUCUAUUAGCUGUUCUUUCCGAUUCAUGGGAGGCCGACAUCGAUGUCCCCUGGGAGUUUCGCUGACACGCCUUCUCCCCCUGGAGGCGCUUCAUUUAGUAACUCGCCAGACAAGC
rfam:Zea mays cultivar B73 chromosome 8, whole genome shotgun sequence.